GACGAACGCUGGCGGCGUGCUUAACACAUGCAAGUCGAACGGUGAAGCGCCUUCCUUUUUGGUGGGUGUGGAUGAGUGGCGAACGGGUGAGUAACACGUGAGUAACCUGCCCCCUUCUUCUGGAUAACCGCAUGAAAGUGUGGCUAAUACGGGAUAUUCUGGGUCUGUCGCAUGAUGGGUCUGGGAAAGAUAUUGUUUCGGUGGGGGAUGGGCUCGCGGCCUAUCAGCUUGUUGGUGGGGUGAUGGCCUACCAAGGCGGUGACGGGUAGCCGGCCUGAGAGGGUGGACGGUCACACUGGGACUGAGACACGGCCCAGACUCCUACGGGAGGCAGCAGUGGGGAAUAUUGCACAAUGGGCGCAAGCCUGAUGCGACGCCGCGUGAGGGAUGGAGGCCGUCGGGUUGGGAACCUCUUUCGCCAGUGAAGCAGGCCUGCCUCGUUGGUGGGUGGGUUGACGGGAGCUGGAUAAGAAGCGCCGGCUAACUACGU
rnacentral:rRNA from 1 species